CCCUUAUUCAGAGUGAUGGAGGUACAAAGGACCUGCGAAGUCACGGCAACCCCGGUUGAGUAUGUGAAAGCAAGAUGCACAUGCGAAAGGGCCGGAAGGUGCCAGCCUGAGCGAGGAGCAGACGAGUACGGAAAUUCCGGAAAACUGCUUGAUCGAGCAAUAAGAG
rnacentral:ncRNA from 2 species